CAGCUAGUUGGUGGGGUAACGGCCUACCAAGGCGAUGAUCCGUAGCUGGUCUGAGAGGAUGAUCAGCCACACUGGGACUGAGACACGGCCCAGACUCCUACGGGAGGCAGCAGUGGGGAAUAUUGGACAAUGGGGGCAACCCUGAUCCAGCAAUGCCGCGUGGGUGAUGAAGGCCUUCGGGUUGUAAAGCCCUUUCGCACGCGACGAUGAUGACGGUAGCGUGAGAAGAAGCCCCGGCUAACUUCGUGCCAGCAGCCGCGGUAAUACGAAGGGGGCGAGCGUUGUUCGGAAUUACUGGGCGUAAAGGGCGCGCAGGCGGCCGAUCAAGUCAGGCGUGAAAGCCCCGGGCUUAACCUGGGAAUUGCGCUUGGGACUGGUUGGCUUGAGUUCGGGAGAGGAGAGUGGAAUUCCCAGUGUAGAGGUGAAAUUCGUAGAUAUUGGGAAGAACACCGGUGGCGAAGGCGGCUCUCUGGACCGAUACUGACGCUGAGGCGCGAAAGCGUGGGAGCAGACAGGAUUAGAUACCCUGGUAGUCCACGCUGUAAACGAUGUGCGCUAGACGUUGGAGGGCGUAGCCUUCCGGUGUCGCAGCUAACG
rnacentral:rRNA from 1 species